UACGUAGGAUGCAAGCGUUGUCCGGAAUUAUUGGGCGUAAAGCGAACGUAGGCGGUUUCUUAAGAUUGGUCUUAAAGACCGGGGCUCAACCCCGGGAAUGGAUCGAUAACUGGGAGACUGGAGGACAUCAGAGGAAAGUGGAAUUCCGAGUGUAGCGGUGAAAUGCGUAGAUAUUCGGAGGAACACCAGUGGCGAAAGCGACUUUCUGGGACGUUCCUGACGCUGAGGUUCGAAAGCUCGGGGAGCAAACAGG
rnacentral:rRNA from 1 species